UUCUGUUCUGCCGAUGCUAUAAAUUCAAUACUAAUUCUACAGCCACAUGAGUUAUGAGCAUAAAAUAUAUCAUGCAAUCUCUAGUCUUUAACAGUGAAAAGCUUAACAAGAAUGGAUGCUGCUAGAAUAAUGCUGCUUCCUUGCCAUGAUAACUGAGCAUUCAUCUCCUGCUCUCAGCUGGCUUCUUCAGCAGUUAGAGCUGCAAGGAGUGGCUUAAGUCUCAUAACCAAAUUAGAGUGGAGACAUUGGCCACAUAAUACACAUGCUCCAUUUUUUUAAAAAUUCUGAAUCUUGGACAACUGUUCUCUUGUAACUACUUUACAGUUUCUAGAAGCAGUUACUGUCCAAACCUGGAAGAACUUAAGUCUCAAAUGAGCAUGUGAAUGAAUGGAGGGAAUUAAACAAAAAAGAAAAUUUAAAAAGAUGAGAUCUGAUAGGGGAGAAGCCAGAUGAGAAAAUAAAAAAAGGAACGUAAUUUAAAGUUUAUUCCAGCUAUAAUGCAGGUUAUUCUGAUUUUAAGGUCACAUCAAAUGGCAUACUUCUGAGUCCAUUCUUGAGAUAGUCUGUUAUACUUGCCUCUGUCUGCUUUAUAGAUCCAUGCAAUUUCUGGCACUAGGGGGUCCUCUGGGUUUGGAUCACAUAGCAGUGAACAAAUGGAUAAGAGAAUUUCAGAAAUAAUUAAAGCAGGAGACCACUGUGAUCUUAGAAAAUACUGAGACAAAUGCUGCCAUUGCUGUUUAUAUUUGGAUGAUAAAUUCUUGUUGUAAAUGCAAUAGGUCCCAUAAUUGUGGCUUGCCAAUGGAACAUGUCAUCCCUAACUGGGCCUGCAGAACAUUGUGCUGGAGGGUCACAGGCCAAAUCACUAAGUUCCUUAUUAAUCUGCUUCAACACCACAGUCUGUGCUAUCCCGGCCCUCAGUGUCCACAUGUGCUCCGUCCUGCUGCAUCUGGAUGGCCCUUGGCUCCCAGCAGCUCAGACACAGCCCUUCAACUAUGCCAACCGGAAGUCACGGGAUCUUGCUUCUUGAUCCAUUCUAAGUCUCCUUCUUUUCACUGGUAAAUUGAGACCAUUUAUGUUGAUGGUUAUAACUGAUAUAUAUUGACUUAGCCUUGCCAUGUUAUUUUCUUGUCAUUGGUUCCCUUUUAUUCCUCCCUUUGUUUAAUUACUUGCCUUGCCUGGUAUAUUCAUUCUCUUGGGGUUCAUGGAGUUGUAGCCCUUGUUAUCUCUUUCUAAAAUGUCCUUCAGAACAUUUUAGAGUGCUGGCUUGGUGGUCAUGAAUUUCCUCAGGUGUUCUGUGUUGUGGAAGUAUCUUAUUUCUCCAUCAUUUUUGAAAGAUAGUUUUGUAGGGCACAUCAAUCUGGGCUGGAGGUUGUUUUCUUUAGGAGUUGAAAUACUUCACUCCAAGCUCUCCUUGACUUAGGGGUUUGUGUUGAGAAGUCUGCUGUGAUUCUUAUGGGCUUUGCUUUAUAGGUGACUUCUUUUCUCUAACAGCUUUUAAUAUUCUGUUCCUGUGUUGAAUUCCUGGAAUCUUGGUUAUUAUGCCUUUAUGCAGUUUUUAUUUUAAUCAUGGCUAACUGGAGUUCUAGAUGCUUCACUUAUCUGAAUGUCAAAUUCAUUUUCCAUGCUUGGGAAAUUUUCUGCCAUUACUUUUGUGAACAGGUUUUUUUAUGUCAUUUGUGGUAUCUCCUGCUUUUUCAUUGAUUCCAAUCAACUUUAUAUUGUUCUUCCUUGCAUCAUCUAGCAGCUGUUGGAUUGAUUUCUCAUGUUCCCUUGCUAUUUUUUUAGAAAUAGUUUUUUUUCAAAAUUGCUAACCACAAUAUUGUCUUCUAUUUCUAGUAUUCUGUCCUCACACUGGCUUAUUCUGCUGAAUACUUUCAAUGGAAUUUUUAAUCUCCUGGAUUUUCUUUGAAUUUGUUUCAUGGAUCCCAUUUCUUUCCUUCAUUGAAUAUUCAUGGUUUCCAUCAUUUUCC
rnacentral:lncRNA from 1 species